AGCGUACACGGUGGAUGCCCUGGCAGUCAGAGGCGAUGAAGGACGUGCUAAUCUGCGAUAAGCGUCGGUAAGGUGAUAUGAACCGUUAUAACCGGCGAUUUCCGAAUGGGGAAACCCAGUGUGAUUCGUCACACUAUCAUUAACUGAAUCCAUAGGUUAAUGAGGCGAACCGGGGGAACUGAAACAUCUAAGUACCCCGAGGAAAAGAAAUCAACCGAGAUUCCCCCAGUAGCGGCGAGCGAACGGGGAGCAGCCCAGAGCCUGAAUCAGUGUGUGUGUUAGUGGAAGCGUCUGGAAAGGCGCGCGAUACAGGGUGACAGCCCCGUACACAAAAAUGCACAUGCUGUGAGCUCGAUGAGUAGGGCGGGACACGUGGUAUCCUGUCUGAAUAUGGGGGGACCAUCCUCCAAGGCUAAAUACUCCUGACUGACCGAUAGUGAACCAGUACCGUGAGGGAAAGGCGAAAAGAACCCCGGCGAGGGGAGUGAAAAAGAACCUGAAACCGUGUACGUACAAGCAGUGGGAGCACGCUUAGGCGUGUGACUGCGUACCUUUUGUAUAAUGGGUCAGCGACUUAUAUUCUGUAGCAAGGUUAACCGAAUAGGGGAGCCGAAGGGAAACCGAGUCUUAACUGGGCGUUAAGUUGCAGGGUAUAGACCCGAAACCCGGUGAUCUAGCCAUGGGCAGGUUGAAGGUUGGGUAACACUAACUGGAGGACCGAACCGACUAAUGUUGAAAAAUUAGCGGAUGACUUGUGGCUGGGGGUGAAAGGCCAAUCAAACCGGGAGAUAGCUGGUUCUCCCCGAAAGCUAUUUAGGUAGCGCCUCGUGAAUUCAUCUCCGGGGGUAGAGCACUGUUUCGGCAAGGGGGUCAUCCCGACUUACCAACCCGAUGCAAACUGCGAAUACCGGAGAAUGUUAUCACGGGAGACACACGGCGGGUGCUAACGUCCGUCGUGAAGAGGGAAACAACCCAGACCGCCAGCUAAGGUCCCAAAGUCAUGGUUAAGUGGGAAACGAUGUGGGAAGGCCCAGACAGCCAGGAUGUUGGCUUAGAAGCAGCCAUCAUUUAAAGAAAGCGUAAUAGCUCACUGGUCGAGUCGGCCUGCGCGGAAGAUGUAACGGGGCUAAACCAUGCACCGAAGCUGCGGCAGCGACGCUUAUGCGUUGUUGGGUAGGGGAGCGUUCUGUAAGCCUGUGAAGGUGUGCUGUGAGGCAUGCUGGAGGUAUCAGAAGUGCGAAUGCUGACAUAAGUAACGAUAAAGCGGGUGAAAAGCCCGCUCGCCGGAAGACCAAGGGUUCCUGUCCAACGUUAAUCGGGGCAGGGUGAGUCGACCCCUAAGGCGAGGCCGAAAGGCGUAGUCGAUGGGAAACAGGUUAAUAUUCCUGUACUUGGUGUUACUGCGAAGGGGGGACGGAGAAGGCUAUGUUGGCCGGGCGACGGUUGUCCCGGUUUAAGCGUGUAGGCUGGUUUUCCAGGCAAAUCCGGAAAAUCAAGGCUGAGGCGUGAUGACGAGGCACUACGGUGCUGAAGCAACAAAUGCCCUGCUUCCAGGAAAAGCCUCUAAGCAUCAGGUAACAUCAAAUCGUACCCCAAACCGACACAGGUGGUCAGGUAGAGAAUACCAAGGCGCUUGAGAGAACUCGGGUGAAGGAACUAGGCAAAAUGGUGCCGUAACUUCGGGAGAAGGCACGCUGAUAUGUAGGUGAAGUCCCUCGCGGAUGGAGCUGAAAUCAGUCGAAGAUACCAGCUGGCUGCAACUGUUUAUUAAAAACACAGCACUGUGCAAACACGAAAGUGGACGUAUACGGUGUGACGCCUGCCCGGUGCCGGAAGGUUAAUUGAUGGGGUUAGCGCAAGCGAAGCUCUUGAUCGAAGCCCCGGUAAACGGCGGCCGUAACUAUAACGGUCCUAAGGUAGCGAAAUUCCUUGUCGGGUAAGUUCCGACCUGCACGAAUGGCGUAAUGAUGGCCAGGCUGUCUCCACCCGAGACUCAGUGAAAUUGAACUCGCUGUGAAGAUGCAGUGUACCCGCGGCAAGACGGAAAGACCCCGUGAACCUUUACUAUAGCUUGACACUGAACAUUGAGCCUUGAUGUGUAGGAUAGGUGGGAGGCUUUGAAGUGUGGACGCCAGUCUGCAUGGAGCCGACCUUGAAAUACCACCCUUUAAUGUUUGAUGUUCUAACGUUGACCCGUGAUCCGGGUUGCGGACAGUGUCUGGUGGGUAGUUUGACUGGGGCGGUCUCCUCCUAAAGAGUAACGGAGGAGCACGAAGGUUGGCUAAUCCUGGUCGGACAUCAGGAGGUUAGUGCAAUGGCAUAAGCCAGCUUGACUGCGAGCGUGACGGCGCGAGCAGGUGCGAAAGCAGGUCAUAGUGAUCCGGUGGUUCUGAAUGGAAGGGCCAUCGCUCAACGGAUAAAAGGUACUCCGGGGAUAACAGGCUGAUACCGCCCAAGAGUUCAUAUCGACGGCGGUGUUUGGCACCUCGAUGUCGGCUCAUCACAUCCUGGGGCUGAAGUAGGUCCCAAGGGUAUGGCUGUUCGCCAUUUAAAGUGGUACGCGAGCUGGGUUUAGAACGUCGUGAGACAGUUCGGUCCCUAUCUGCCGUGGGCGCUGGAGAACUGAGGGGGGCUGCUCCUAGUACGAGAGGACCGGAGUGGACGCAUCACUGGUGUUCGGGUUGUCAUGCCAAUGGCACUGCCCGGUAGCUAAAUGCGGAAGAGAUAAGUGCUGAAAGCAUCUAAGCACGAAACUUGCCCCGAGAUGAGUUCUCCCUGACUCCUUGA
rnacentral:rRNA from 1 species